ACCAGGCUGGCUCAGCAGGUGGAGUGUGAGACUCCUGAUCUUGGUGCGGUGGGUUCAAGCCCCAUGAUGGGUG
rnacentral:tRNA from 1 species